rnacentral:rRNA from 1 species
UACGUAGGGCGCAAGCGUUGUCCGGAAUUAUUGGGCGUAAAGAGCUCGUAGGCGGUCUGUCGCGUCCGUUGUGAAAACUCGAGGCUCAACCGCGGGCCUGCAGCCGAUACGGGCAGGCUAGAGUUCGGUAGGGGAGACUGGAAUUCCUGGUGUAGCGGUGAAAUGCGCAGAUAUCAGGAGGAACACCGAUGGCGAAGGCAGGUCUCUGGGCAUUAACUGACGCUGAGGAGCGAAAAGCAUGGGGGAGCGAACAGG